ensembl:lncRNA
GUAGUCAUACAUGAAACUUUGAGAAAUUUUGAAUUUAUUUGGUUUAAUUUAAUUGUCUUAGCAGGGGGACUGCAAUUUUAGCCAAAGGCAAGCUUGUCCACUAUUGCCUAGGCGCUUAUGGCCCCAUUGUGUGCAGGAGCAAGGCAUUGGAUUAGGUAGUGAAUCCAGAAGGUCGAGGAAAGGAGCCUACCUGUUUAAGGGGCGGAGCCAUGGCUGACACUCUCCUCCCUGUAGGGGGGGGGCUGAGGCGCCGCCCCGUGCCACCAGGGGCGGAAUUGUACCGGAGACUGCGGGGUAUGGCUCGGGCAGGACCCAGGUUUGGCAGGAGCGAGCGAACAUCCGGGGCGGCCACAUGGUCCGCACUGGCGGCCACAUGGUCCGCACUGGCGGCCACAUGGUCCGCACUGGCGGCCACAUGGUCCGCACUGGCGGCAGGGCUGCUUGUCUGUGGGAGGGGCUUAGAUGGACCGUCAGAGUACCGCCUCUUCUGCACCUGUGAGGUCUGGCUCGUGGGCACAUAGACUUUCCAGUCCGACAUGGGCGUGGAGGUGACCAAACAUCCAGCUGUCUGAUUGGCUUGACAGUUCAGGGCACUUGCCUUGGGAGGAGAAGCUCUCUCGAAUGUGUCAUCAAAGUUGAGGUCGGCACUGCAUUUAUAAACAGGUGUGCAUGCCAGCGUGUGGCAUCUCAGUGAAUUCUCGUCACUCUUUGUGGCGCUGGGUGCUGGGGACAGAGGUCUGGAGGCGUCCUGUGAGGAGAAGGUCAUGGUGCUGCUCGCCCUGUCGGCCGUUGACCCGCUGGACCCAUGGGUGGUGUUGACCUCGGACCGCAGGUCCAGCGCCACAACCAGGUUAUUAUUGGACCCAUUGUGAGGGGCAGUUGAUAACGCUCUGGGUUGGGCUUCAAAGUGACUUCCGCUCAGGUUGUCUUGGUAGACGCUCUGGUUGUCUUGCCUACCACUCUGGUUGUCUUGGCCGACGCUCUGGUUGUCUUGGCCGACGCUCUGGUUGUCUUGGCCGACGCUCUGGUUGUCUUGGCCGACGCUCUGGUUGUCUUGGCCGACGCUCUGGUUGUCUUGGCCGACGCUCUGGUUGUCUUGGCCGACGCUCUGGUUGUCUUGACUACAUCCUUGGGGACCUAGGGUUGGAGAAGAGAUGCUCUUAAAGGUGUCCUCGAGUUUGACACCUGAGCAGGCAUCGCCCAGUGAGACCACUGCACUGGGUCUAAUGGAAACGGGUCCGACAGCUGCUUGUUGAGCGGCAAACUUAGGUGGCACUUGACCCCUGAGGAGUCGAUGGCCUCCAUAGUGACAUUGCUGUUCAUCGAGGAGUCACUAGGUGGACUGAAGUAGGUGUCGUUCCCAGAGCGCGGGGCGGACCCAUUGCUGUCAUUGCUUGCCACCUCCACCGCAUUCUCGCUGAGCACCUGGGUGGUGUUGAGGACCUGGGUGGUGUUGAGGACCUGGGUGGUGUUGAGGACCUGGGUGGUGUUGAGGACCUGGGUGGUGUUGAGCUCGGGCUGCCUCGGGUGGUCCAAUGCUAGGACCAGAGUUGUCCUGUCAGGGAAUUGGGAAGCAGAAGCGGAGCACAGCGAUGGAGAACCCAGAGCCAUUUCCCCAUGGGGAAGGAUGGAUUCACAGGUUACAUCAGAUUCGGGGAUGGAGGAUGUUUCCAGUGAGCUCUGGACAACCUCAGCUCCCAGAACCACUACCCCAUGGGGAAGGAUGGAUUCGCGGGUGACAUCGGAUUCAGGACAGGAAGAGCUUUCCACUGAGUUCUGGACAACCUCAGCUUUCGUCAUCUCCAGUGUGUGGAGACUGCUGUGGUCCAUUAAGCGACUUUCUCCGAGGCUCUGCUGCCCUGUGGAGGCUAGGAGGCGAGGAGUGAGAACUAAACUCUUAUCCGUGACCAGACUCAACAUGGAGCCUGGGCUGGGCUCCUCCUCCACUUUAGGCGUCACAGCAAGGUGCCGUUCAGGAACCGGGGGCACGAAGGAGGGAGCGGCCCCAUUGGUGGAGAGGUUAGAACACUCCAUGGUGGAGUCCAUCAAGCUGACCUCUGGGAGGGUCUCGUCCUGCAGCCAGAAGCAAGGCCACCCGGCCGGAGCCAAGCUGUCCGGUCCGGCGGGAAGCCGACCCAGGCUCUCCCUCAGUUUGUGAUACUCUGUGGUGAACAACUCCUGGUUAAGGUGCGGCAUGUUGUGAAUAGCCGUCAGCCCAUGCCUGGCCGGGCCGGGUGUCAGGCCCUUCCUGGAGUUGUUGCCCGGCAGGUUAAAGCUUUUGAAACCGGGCGUAAGGCCGGAUUCCAUCUCUCUGGAGUAUCUGGGCGUGGACGAGUGGGAAGCAGCAGCAGGACUCCUCGUUUUGGCGAGAGACAAGUGAGAGGUCUCCGCCGUGGUGUCCAGCAUGCUGAGCUCAGGGAGCGCCUCGUCCCCUAUGUCUGGCGAACUGAGAGGACUCUGGCCAAGGUUCUUCAUGGUGUUGUGCCAUUUGUCCACGACUUCUCUGUAAAGCGGGACUACACGCUCAUCAGGAACGUUCUGAUUGGGCUCCCUCGACGGCCUGGGGGCGGAGUCGGCAGGAGGAGGGAUGUUCUCGCGGUCCUCGUUCUCCGUUGGGUCGUAGCUAGGCGCUCCAAGUGUAGCCGUCAGAUUGGCCAUGUUAGAGGGCUUUCAUACAAACGGACGUUAUUUUUUCUCUUCUUUUCAAAUCCUUGUCUUCUAUGCGUUAUUGCUGCAUGCAAAAUACAUUUGAAUUAAGUUCAGAGAAAAAAGCCUGGAUAGGAGGCUUUAGUUUUAGUUUCCUACGUUAGGUUUACUCUCAUACCUUAACACAUU